UUUCACCCAUUUACAGGGAUUUCGCCUUGCAGCUCUUAACUGGGAACCAUGUGGAUAUGGAAACACUUUCACCCAAUUCCAGGCAACGCGUUAAGGUUCUCAAAUAUUUGCAGAACGAAUAUGACAAAUUGGAGACUAAGUUUUUUGAGGAAUCACGUCAGUUGAAAGUUAAAUACAUGAAGCUUUAUGAACCACUUUAC